rnacentral:rRNA from 1 species
AUUGAACGCUGGCGGCAGGCCUAACACAUGCAAGUCGAACGAGUGGCGGACGGGUGAGUAAUAUCUCGGUAACAGCCCGAUGGAGGGGGAGAACUACUGGAAACGGGCUAUAAUACCCCAUCAUAUCUGAACUGUCCCGAUGUGAUGAGCUAUUGGGUGGGGUAACGGCUCACCUGGGCGACGAUCCCUAGCUGGUCUGAGAGGAUGACCCGCCACACUGGAACUGAGACACGGUCAAGACUCCUACGGGAGGCAGCAGUGGGGAAUAUUGGACAAUGGGCGAAAGCCUGAGUCAGCCAUGCCGCGUGUGUGAAGAAGGCCUUCGGGUUGUAAAGCACUUUCAGUGGGGAGGCGUUACCUACAGAAUAAGCACCGGCUAACUUCGUGCCAGCAGCCGCGGUAAUUC